CUCAAAAUAUAUCAAAACAUUUAAGCUUGAAAUAAUGACGAACAUCGCUUCGGAAAGUAAUAUAACGUUGCUAUUGCGGGAAUUUCAGAAUUACAUCAACAAUUCGGACAAAGAGUUCGUUGCGUCGACGAUACAAGCCAUUGGCCGUUGUGCAUCGAACAUUCCCGAAGUUACAGAUACCUGUUUAACCGGUCUAGUU